UCCUACGGGGAGGCAGCAGUAGGGAAUCUUCCGCAAUGGGCGAAAGCCUGACGGAGCAACGCCGCGUGAGUGAUGAAGGUCUUCGGAUCGUAAAACUCUGUUAUCAGGGAAGAACAAAUGUGUAAGUAACUGUGCACAUCUUGACGGUACCUGAUCAGAAAGCCACGGCUAACUACGUGCCAGCAGCCGCGGUAAUACGUAGGUGGCAAGCGUUAUCCGGAAUUAUUGGGCGUAAAGCGCGCGUAGGCGGUUUUUUAAGUCUGAUGUGAAAGCCCACGGCUCAACCGUGGAGGGUCAUUGGAAACUGGAAAACUUGAGUGCAGAAGAGGAAAGUGGAAUUCCAUGUGUAGCGGUGAAAUGCGCAGAGAUAUGGAGGAACACCAGUGGCGAAGGCGACUUUCUGGUCUGUAACUGACGCUGAUGUGCGAAAGCGUGGGGAUCAAACAGGAUUAGAUACCCUGGUAGUCCACGCCGUAAACGAUGAGUGCUAAGUGUUAGGGGGUUUCCGCCCCUUAGUGCUGCAGCUAACGCAUAAGCAC
rnacentral:rRNA from 1 species